CAUAAUGGAGAGAGGUUAAAUGAAAUGCAUCGGACCCAGAUUAAGUAGAUAUUAUGAUAUCAUGACAUACAAAAUUUUUUAUGUAUUUUAGUACAUAUAUAUAUACACACAUUGUGGUAUAUUAUUGAUGAUGAUUUUGAGUAAAAUAUGUGGUGAUUUAUUGAGAUUGUGAUAAUGUAAUAUUAAUGAUGGAUUUUGUUUUAAACGUGCACUGUCUAUUAUGGGGAAGGUGCUUGGCUCCCACCGAUAACAUGUCAGGCUAGUGUAGUGACCCUAGAUAAUGAGUAAGGGGGUCUACAUAAUGUACACAAUGAACCUAAGCGAUGAGUUAGGGGAUCUAUGAUAGGUGUGGAUUGUCAUUAUGAUUCUGGGGCCUUACAGUGAGCCCAAUCGAUGAAG
rnacentral:lncRNA from 1 species